AUGCAAGAGAGUAAGUGUGAGGGGAGGAGAUGUUGGAGUCCAGGGAGUGAGUUACAUGCAGGAAGGAAGAAGGGGGACCAACUGACUCCCACUAGCAGACAGUGUGACACGCACCAGCCCCUUGUGGGCCUGCCAGCUGCUGACAGGUCACUAUCUUGCGGCUUCACAUCAUCACACGGAAGAAUGUCAUCCGCGUCCCUGUGGAUGAGCGAAAUAAAGAUUUCCAGUCCCCCGGAUGGGAAAGCCAAAUUCUUAGCCAAGCCCAUGUGCCGGGAGCCAGUGUGAGGAAUCCCACCCGUGACAAGGUCAUGCGGAGAGGCCUGAUGGGCAAGGCGAGUCAAGCCUCAGGGUUUCCCCCUGGAAUUUCCUGAGCAUGUACCCCCCAAACCAGAAUCUGCCUGCCUUAUUGUAUUUUACUUUUCCAGUCUUCUGACACACUCUAGAUAAAGUUAACUCAGGGCUUUAGUCUUCUGCGUUUGAAAGGGAUGUUUCAGUUCAAACCCCCUCUGAUAACUCUCUAGUUUGCCUAACAGGUUCCCCUAGACUUUUUACAGCUUAUAAAUUGCUUACAGCCCCCCAACCAAGAGAGGGACAAAGCUUAAAGCAUCUUAAAAAUACAGAGCCUUUUCUAAAGAGCUAAAAAUCAUAUUGGUGAUGGAUUUCACUGUUGACUCAAAGAUUGCUGCCAGGCCUCCAUAUUCUUUAUCUUUUAGGCACCUGAGAAGAUAUUAAUCAAUGUAAUUGGGAUAUGGAAAAAGGUAUACAGUAGUUUUGAUGUUAGCAACACUAGACUUUUGAGUUGGUUACUUUUCUUUUGUUAUAAAUCACUGUACUCCUUUUACUUGUUAUAAAUUGCUGUAUCUUUGCUAUAUAAGAAUGUAACUUUAUUUAGUACUUUCUGAGAGUGGCACCAGACUUUAAAAAAAACAACAAAAAAAACACAAAUAAGUCUUCUGGUUGACAAACCCUUAUCAGAAAAAAGGCUGUAAAAUGUUAAUUGGCCCUUUUGGCCAAAAGAUGAUGUAAAUCACCUAAGACUUGUGUAUACAACUAGGUAUGCAGAGAGAAAGCCUGGUCUCGAUAAGAGUCAGGGCUGCUGACACUGCAUAAUUUUGUAUUAUCCAUUGAUCUCUAUGUACAAUCAAAAGUAUAAAAGGCCUUUCUGGACAAUAGAGGAGGGGCAAGUCACUGGAAAGACUGAUUCCCCCGUGUCUUUUCUUACUCUAUUUUCAGGCUGAAUUCCCAUCUGGGGUGUGGAGGCUCGCCAUGUCUACUUACUUGCCCUGGCUUCUAAGACCCACGAGAGAGGGAGCCCAAGGCAGGGCAACCUCCGCUAUUCAAACGGGCGCUAUUCAAAUGGGCGCUAACAUAGAUGGUGCAAACCUCUUGUCCUGAGGUUUUAUUAGUAAUCCAUGUAAACCAAGUUAUUCAGCUUCUUUUCUUCACUAAAUUUUCCUACUAUACUAUUUCUUCCUAAUCUCUCCUUAAUAUUUCUAAAUAAAUAAGUUUUUCCUUGCCACACCCUCUCCCCUUCAAAUUACCCUGGAUCCACCAGGGCUGGACCCUGGCAA
ensembl:lincRNA